GGGAAGCUGAAGCUGAAGCUGAUGAAUCAGAGCAACCUAAUACUGUGGGCAAAGAGAUGGAGAAACCCACUCCUGUACAUGCUCCCGAGCUAGAUUCUGAUCCUGUGGCCCCUGAGGAGACCCAGUGCGUGUCCUCUGAUGAGAAGGAAGAAGACGGAUGCAUCAAGAACCCAGCAGAUGAGUCAGCUCCCUUCUCUGCUCCUUUGAUGCCAGUGUUUCUUGCUUUUCUGGGUCAUGUUCAGCAACUUCCCCAGUCAAAGUCUAAAAGUUGCAGUUAAGAUGGGCCAACAGUGACUGUUGAGCAGCUGCAUUCAAUAUAAACUUUCCUUGUUGAACAUAAAACAACACAAUCCAGGCAGCAUUAGGCUGCUUUCAUACAUAUACUGGUAAUAAUGGAAAUAAAUGCAGAUUUUUUCAGGAGACAAGGUUGCCAACUUUGCUCAACUCUUGAUCUUCAGAUAUAAACUUUGAGAUCAGAUGAGUUACCAAAUAAACAAUGAGAAAGGAUUGACCUGAAAAACAAAUUGUUAAUACAAUCAGGAGAAAUAACAAAUUGGAGAAAAACAAGAACAAGAAAUCAACUGAAACUGGAACUGCAGAAACCUUUGACCCAAAGAAACAAAACACUGACGCACAUGACAGAUUGGCAAUAUGAGGUUUAAUUUAAGAAGAAAUGCAGAUAGAAGACACGUCAUAAAUACUACGACCACUAGAUGGCGCCUCGUACAUACCAUGGGUCACAUGAACCUGCUGCACAGACGACCUGUUUGUAACUGAUUCAUGACAAACUUGUGUGAUUCACAUUUUUUUAAAUUAGUUAUUGAUUGAUUUUGACAUUUGAUUCAGUAAUACAAUGUGUUUUGUUAAAUUAAUUUCAGUUUUUAAUCAACAGUUAACGUUAUUUCAACAUGUUUAUCAUUUUAUCAAAAUCAUUUUUUAUCCAUUUAUCCAGUUUAAGGGUGAUAUUAACAUUCAGGACUUAAUCAUAUGAUUAUUUUUGAUAGUAGUGGGCGAUAUCGCUGUAUAUGUGAAUUUAUAUUGUGGUAUUUAUAUAUAUCAUAGAGCAGAUUUUCUCUAGGAUCAAAUGAGAAACUGUUAAAAAGGUAAAAUGAACAAACUUGGCUGACUGAGAGACUUGAAUACAUAUGAAGGUCACAUCGAAUCACAUAAAUAUCCAAUAAAUCAGUCGUCUUGACUGAAACACUCAAAGAUGAUUUUAAAAGUAUUUAAAAUAAAAUAUGAGAUAAUCUCUGACAGACAAAUGUAUAUCGUCAAAUGGUAUGUAUCAUGAUAUGACUAACACCUAAUGAUUUGAUUUUUAUUUUUUGAAUUACAAAUUUUCAGUUUUUACUACUUAUUGUUUGCUUUUGCAUUUAUGAAUUAAACCUGAUAACCCUUAA